CCCUUAGAUGUUCUGGGCCGCACGCGCGCUACACUGAUGCAUUCAACGAGUUUCUUCCUGGUCCGAGAGGAAUGGGUAACCUUUUGAAAGUGCAUCGUGAUAGGGAUAGACUAUUGCAAUUAUUGGUCUUCAACGAGGAAUUCCUAGUAGACGUAGUUCAUCAGACUGCAUCGAUUACGUCCCUGCCCUUUGUACACACCGCCCGUCGCUCCUACCGAUUGAAUGCUCAGGUGAGCCAUUCGGACCUUCAUCAUGCCGGUUUCCGGUUUUGAUGAGGGAAAGUCUUGCGAACCUUAUCAUUUAGAGGAAGGAGAAGUCGUGACA
rnacentral:rRNA from 1 species